AACGAACGCUGGCGGCAUGCCUAACACAUGCAAGUCGAACGAGAUCUUCGGGUCUAGUGGCGCACGGGUGCGUAACGCGUGGGAAUCUGCCCUUUGGUUCGGAAUAACAGUUGGAAACGACUGCUAAUACCGGAUGAUGACGAAAGUCCAAAGAUUUAUCGCCAGAGGAUGAGCCCGCGUAGGAUUAGCUAGUUGGUGUGGUAAAGGCGCGCCAAGGCGACGAUCCUUAGCUGGUCUGAGAGGAUGAUCAGCCACACUGGGACUGAGACACGGCCCAGACUCCUACGGGGGGCAGCAGUGGGGAAUAUUGGACAAUGGGCGGAAGCCUGAUCCAGCAAUGCCGCGUGAGUGAUGAAGGCCUUAGGGUUGUAAAGCUCUUUUACCCGGGAUGAUAAUGACAGUACCGGGAGAAUAAGCUCCGGCUAACUCCGUGCCAGCCGCCGCGGUAA
rnacentral:rRNA from 1 species